GCACCCGAAGCUCAACUGGCCGAGCACGCGGAUUCUAGCACCGUGGGUUGAGGGUUCGACUCCCUCCGGGUGCGCCA
rnacentral:tRNA from 1 species